rnacentral:tRNA from 1 species
GCCUUCGUGGUGUAAUUACCAGCACAUUCGGCUCGUAUUCGAGAGGUCCGAGGUUCGAGUCCCGGCGAAGGCA